rnacentral:lncRNA from 1 species
GUUUGUAGUUACAUAACGACAUAACUAUUAGCCGGAGGGGUUAGGAAGUCACUGGUCUUCUGCUUCACCAAAGUACCUCUCCACCUGCUGGCUCUGGCUUUCCUAAUCUCAAGGCUCUGAGCUGGCGUGUGUUUUUAUGGAGCUGUCGUGUUCCACCCCAGCACUGGCUGCAUUUUCUUUGACAGCGAUGUGUUUUUCCCACUUUGGAACCCCUGGGAAGCAACACGCGUGAGAAGUGGCAGCCAAGAAGCCAAAUAUUGUCCAGCAGAGGACGACAAAAAUGAAAAGCAACAGAGGCUGUUUCCAUGCACAGUUGCCCCACCUACGUGUCAAGUCCCAGGACCAUGUGUGCCGUUGUAACGAGGCUGCUGGUAAUGAGCCCUCAGCUAUUGGAAUAAGCCUAGGACAGGACAGGCCCUCCUAAUCAUGUCCUGGAUACCAUUCAGAUGAACAAAUGUGGUUCUCAGAGAUGCAGAUCCCACUUAUCAGAGCAGUACUCUCCAAGGAGAUGAGCAGUCCAGAGCAAAUAAAAAUGGCGCCCCAGACCCAUACCUACAAUAUGUACUGCAGUGAGGUUUGUAAGAAAUUCCCAGAACUGGGGUUUCGGUUUGGGCCCGAUCCUGAAAGCAGCUGUCAAAGCGCUCCUCACUGCAGUGCCAUGCAACCUUGUUCCCAUUUGAUGAAUGAAAAGCAAUCCCUUCAAUGGGAAAGAAUUCCUCCACCCUGCAAGGAAGUCUGCCAGCAGCAUCAGACAACCAAAAGAAGAAGAACGCUAGAAAAUUCACCCUGCCUUCCCAGCUAACCCUGCAGCAGGAGCUCAUGAGUUGGGAUAGGCCUCAUCCCAGGGCCGCUGGAGUUGUGCUGAGGCAGGCUGAAGACCUGGCAAACACCACAUUGAUUUGCAAAGAUGCAGUCUACCAGCCCAGGCUCACCACCUAGGUGUUAAUAAAGGCAUUUGUUAGUUCA